rnacentral:rRNA from 1 species
GACGAACGCUGGCGGCGCGCCUAACACAUGCAAGUCGAACGAGAGAGAGGAAGCUUGCUUCCUCAAUCGAGUGGCGAACGGGUGAGUAACGCGUGAGGAACCUACCUCAAAGAGGGGGACAACAGUUGGAAACGACUGCUAAUACCGCAUAAGCCCACAGGUCGGCAUCGACCAGAGGGAAAAGGAGCAAUCCGCUUUGAGAUGGCCUCGCGUCCGAUUAGCUAGUUGGUGAGGUAAUGGCCCACCAAGGCGACGAUCGGUAGCCGGACUGAGAGGUUGAACGGCCACAUUGGGACUGAGACACGGCCCAGACUCCUACGGGAGGCAGCAGUGGGGAAUAUUGCACAAUGGGGGAAACCCUGAUGCAGCGACGCCGCGUGGAGGAAGAAGGUCUUCGGAUUGUAAACUCCUGUUGUUGAGGAAGAUAAUGACGGUACUCGACAAGGAAGUGACGGCUA